UACGGAGGGUGCGAGCGUUGUCCGGAAUCAUUGGGCGUAAAGGGCGCGUAGGUGGCCCGGUCAGUUCGUGGUGAAAGCGCGGGGCUCAACCCUGCGUCGGCCAUGAAUACUGCCGCGGCUGGAGCACUGUAGAGGCAGGCGGAAUUCCGGGUGUAGCGGUGGAAUGCGUAGAGAUCCGGAAGAACACCGGUGGCGAAGGCGGCCUGCUGGGCAGUUGCUGACACUGAGGCGCGAAAGCUAGGGGAGCAAACGGG
rnacentral:rRNA from 1 species